rnacentral:rRNA from 1 species
CCUACGGGAGGCAGCAGUGAGGAAUAUUGGUCAAUGGCCGGAAGGCUGAACCAGCCAAGCCGCGUGAAGGACGACGGUGCCAAGCAUUGUAAACUUCUUUUGUCAAGGGACAAACUCAGGCUCGAGAGCCUGACCGAGGGUACUUGACGAAUAAGCAUCGGCUAACUCCGUGCCAGCAGCCGCGGUAAUACGGAGGAUGCGAGCGUUAUCCGGAUUUAUUGGGUUUAAAGGGUGCGUAGGCGGACGGUUAAGUCAGCGGUAAAAGGUCGGGGCUCAACCCCGGCGAGCCGUUGAAACUGGUGGACUAGAGAUGUGGAGAGGUAGGCGGAAGG